rnacentral:rRNA from 1 species
GAUUAAGUUAUUAAGGGCGCACGGUGGAUGCCUUGGCACUAGAAGCCGAUGAAGGACGUUACUAACGACGAUAUGCUUUGGGGAGCUGUAAGUAAGCUUUGAUCCAGAGAUUUCCGAAUGGGGAAACCCAGCAUGAGUUAUGUCAUGUUAUCGAUAUGUGAAUACAUAGCAUAUCAGAAGGCACACCCGGAGAACUGAAACAUCUUAGUACCCGGAGGAAGAGAAAGAAAAUUCGAUUCCCUUAGUAGCGGCGAGCGAAACGGGAAGAGCCCAAACCAACAAGCUUGCUUGUUGGGGUUGUAGGACACUCUAUACGGAGUUACAAAGGACGACAUUAGACGAAUCAUCUGGAAAGAUGAAUCAAAGAAGGUAAUAAUCCUGUAGUCGAAAAUGUUGUCUCUCUUGAGUGGAUCCUGAGUACGACGGAGCACGUGAAAUUCCGUCGGAAUCUGGGAGGACCAUCUCCUAAGGCUAAAUACUCUCUAGUGACCGAUAGUGAACCAGUACCGUGAGGGAAAGGUGAAAAGCACCCCGGAAGGGGAGUGAAAUAGAACCUGAAACCGUGUGCUUACAAGUAGUCAGAGCCCGUUAAUGGGUGAUGGCGUGCCUUUUGUAGAAUGAACCGGCGAGUUACGAUUUGAUGCAAGGUUAAGCAGUAAAUGUGGAGCCGUAGCGAAAGCGAGUCUGAAUAGGGCGUUUAGUAUUUGGUCGUAGACCCGAAACCAGGUGAUCUACCCUUGGUCAGGUUGAAGUUCAGGUAACACUGAAUGGAGGACCGAACCGACUUACGUUGAAAAGUGAGCGGAUGAACUGAGGGUAGCGGAGAAAUUCCAAUCGAACCUGGAGAUAGCUGGUUCUCUCCGAAAUAGCUUUAGGGCUAGCCUCAAGUGAUGAUUAUUGGAGGUAGAGCACUGUUUGGACGAGGGGCCCCUCUCGGGUUACCGAAUUCAGACAAACUCCGAAUGCCAAUUAAUUUAACUUGGGAGUC